AUCAGCCGCCGGAGGCGCGUCAACCGAGGUCACUUUGCUGCCUAUCAGGGCAUAGGCUCGAUCAUCGGCACGGUAAGGCUGCAGAACGGCGUGCC
rnacentral:sRNA from 1 species